GACUGCGUGGCGCAAUGGUAGCGCGUCUGCUCCAGAUCAGAAGGUUGCGUGUUCAAAUCACGUCGGGUCA
rnacentral:tRNA from 1 species